rnacentral:rRNA from 1 species
AACGCGAAGAACCUUACCUACUUUUGACAUCCUCGGGAUCUGGCAGAGAUGCUGGAGUGCCUUCGGGAACCGAGAGACAGGUGCUGCAUGGCUGUCGUCAGCUCGUGUCGUGAGAUGUUGGGUUAAGUCCCGUAACGAGCGCAACCCUUAUCCUUAGUUGCCAUUGGGUAAAGCCAGGAACUCUAAGGAGACUGCCGGUGACAAGCCGGAGGAAGGCGGGGACGAUGUCAAGUCAUCAUGGCCCUUACGAGUAGGGCUACACACGUGCUACAAUGGGCGGUACAAAGGGAAGCGAAACUGUGAAGUGGAGCGAAUCUCACUAAAGCCGCUCGUAGUCCGGAUUGGAGUCUGCAACUCGACUCCAUGAAGUUGGAAUCGCUAGUAAUCGCGGAUCAGAACGCCGCGGUGAAUACGUUCCCGGGCCUUGUACACACCGGCUAC